rnacentral:lncRNA from 1 species
AUGGCACUUCAUGACGCUUCAGCAAGAAACACCAGGCAGCUGUUGCCACUGGCCUCCUAGCCCCUACUCUGGGGCUUGGGGGUCAACUUCCCCAGGACUUACCUUCCAAAACCAACUUUCUUCAUUUUGUAUUCUAGGUACGAGACAGUGAUUUACUUCUCUUUUCUCCUCCUCCCUACUGUUCCUCCCCAUGUUUUCAGAAAACACUUCUGCCUCCUGUCCCUUCUUGGUCAAUCGGUUUUUGGUCGACCCCUGUUCUCGAUCCUGUUUUCUCCUGUCCCCAGGAUGCAGAAGGUGGUGAACCCAGGAG